UAAAUGUUUACCGUAUUCAUUUAAAGCAUCGUAGGACAAUGCCGCUAUGUAAACUGUAAGGUGGGUCUUAAAUUAGUGUGAGUUAUUUUGGCACCGGACUCAACCUUCACGUUACAAUAUUUAAAGUAUUGCGCUGUCAUAGUAACGAAAAUGAUAAACACGUCAAUCGGAGUAAACAAGUAACUAAAUGAUGCAAACAAGAAAAUAUUGCAAAAUAGGUACAUAUAUAAUUAUGUACCGAUAAUUAUUUUGUGUUAAAAAUAUGAGGCAAAUUAUACUGCCCGAUUAUACGGACUACAUAUUAAAAACGAUUAUCUUGGAAACAGUCAAUAGAUGUCGAACCACCAGCAAAGUUUUUGAAGAGGUGUAGUUCCUGGUAUCAACUGGAAACUGAAACUAAUAAUCUACACUCAAGAAAAUGAAAUAUAGUCACAGAAAACUUUAAUGUUUUAUUUUAUUAAAGAAAAACGUUAAAAAAAUGUGUAAACAGAAA